rnacentral:rRNA from 1 species
UACGAAGGGACCUAGCGUAGUUCGGAAUUACUGGGCUUAAAGAGUUCGUAGGUGGUUGAAAAAGUUGGUGGUGAAAUCCCAGAGCUUAACUCUGGAACUGCCAUCAAAACUUUUCAGCUAGAGUAUGAUAGAGGAAAGCAGAAUUUCUAGUGUAGAGGUGAAAUUCGUAGAUAUUAGAAAGAAUACCAAUUGCGAAGGCAGCUUUCUGGAUCAUUACUGACACUGAGGAACGAAAGCAUGGGUAGCGAAGAGGAUUAGAUACCCUCGUAGUCCAUGCCGUAAACGAUGUGUGUUAGACGUUGGAAAUUUAUUUUCAGUGUCGCAGCGAAAGCGAUAAACACACCGCCUGGGGAGUACGACCGCAAGGUUAAAACUCAAAUGAAUUGACGGGGACCCGCACAAGUAGUGGAGCAUGUGGUUUAAUUCGAAGAUACGCGCGGAACCUUACCAACACUUGACAUGUUCGUCGCGACUCUAAGAGAUUAGAGUUUUCGGUUCGGCCGGACGAAACACAGGUGCUGCAUGGCUGUCGUCAGCUCGUGUCGUGAGAUGUUGGGUUAAGUCCCGCAACGAGCGCAACCCUCACUUUUAGUUGCCAUCAUUAAGUUGGGCACUCUGAAAGAACUGCCAGUGAUAAGCUGGAGGAAGGUGGGGAUGACGUCAAGUCCUCAUGGCCCUUACGUGUUGGGCUACACACGUGCUACAAUGGUAUCUACAACAGGAAGCAAGACUGCGAAGUUAAGCAAAUCCCUAAAAGAUACCUCAGUUCGGAUUGCACUCUGCAACUCGAGUGCAUGAAGCUGGAAUUACUAGUAAUCGUGGAUCAGCGUGCCACGGUGAAUGCGUUCCCGGGUCA